ACAAGUGCCAGUCCACUUUUUCUCAGCUGCACCCUCUCAGUUCAGGCAGCAGCAGUACCAGGUGUAUGUACAUAACUUCCAAGACACACGAGUGCAAUUCUGAAGCUGAUUUUCAGCCAUGGAGAGAAGAAAUGCAGGAUGCAGCCAAGAGUCAUUUUACUAAAGGCACAGGGGUAAAACGAUUGAAAGAUGGAGGUUUAAAGUGUUAUUAUAUUUGUAACUGAUUGGAUGCUUUUAUAGAGAGGACACAUCAAAGGAAAAGGUCCAUCAAAUCACAAUGUUCCGUCAGGCGUGGGGACACCUGCCUUGCUGAUAUGUCUGCAAUGUUCCAAACUGGCAAGUGCUAAACCUGCUGUGAUACUGCGGAACAAAAAUGCCAAACAACUCCGCUUUGUCUCAACAAAGAUGCAAGGAGUUAAAACGGGUGCAGCUAUGUGUUCGAACAGCUACUGGGAAUUCAGAAGAUCAUACUAUGUGCGUGAAAAUAAC